rnacentral:rRNA from 1 species
UAAACUAGGAUUAGAUACCCUAUUAUUUUAAAUGUAAUUUAUUUAGUACUAAAUUAGUAUUAGUUAUGUUCUUGAAAAUUAAAAAAUUUGGCGGUAUUUUAGUCUUUUCAGAGGAAUCUGUCCUGUAAUUGAUAACCCACGAUUAAAUUUACUUUAUUUAUUAGUUUACAUAUCGUCGUAGUUUGAAUAUUUUAAGAGAAAAUUAAUAUUCAAAAUUUUAAAUUAAAAAAUAAAUCAGAUCAAGGUGUAGUUUAUAAUAAAGAAGAGAUGGAUUACAAAAAAUUUAUUUUAGGAGGGUUUAUUGAAAAUAAAUUUGAAUAUGGAUUUGAAAGUAAUUUUUAAAUAUUUUUUUGAGAUGAUUAAAGCUCUAAAAUAUGUACACAUCGCCCGUCGCUCUUAA